rnacentral:lncRNA from 1 species
AUUAAACAUGUCAGCGGGAUCCAAGCCCUCAUAAAAUCAUGUAUUUUAGAUAUUCUCCUCAAGAAAAUCUGAUAUAUCAGAAAUGUAAUUAACAUCAACCAUUGUCAACACUUUUAAAUGUUGUAUUUAACUUUAUUUGAUUUAUGCUUAUACAAAGAAGAUGUGGUAUGAUUGCCCAUACCACAUAGUCAGCUAUAAAAGCCCCCA